AUUGAACGCUAGCGGCAGGCUUAAUACAUGCAAGUCGUGGGGCAGCACAGUGUAGCAAUACAUGGGUGGCGACCGGCAAACGGGUGCGGAACACGUACGGAACCUUCCUUCGAGCGGGGAAUAGCCCAGAGAAAUUUGGAUUAAUACCCCAUAGUAUUACGGAGUGGCAUCACUUUGUAAUUAAAGAUUUAUCACUUGAA
rnacentral:rRNA from 1 species